GCAAGUCGAGGGAGAAAUUUGGUGCUUGCACUAAAUGGAAACCGGCGAACGGGUGCGUAACACGUACGCAACUUACCUUUUACAGAAGAAUAGCCCCGAGAAAUUGGGAUUAAUACUUCAUAGUAUUAUUGAAAGGCAUCUUUCGAUAAUUAAAGCUCAGGCGGUAAAAGAUAGGCGUGCGGAUCAUUAGCUAGUUGGUAAGGUAAUGGCUUACCAAGGCAACGAUGAUUAGCCGGCGUGAGAGCGCGAUC
rnacentral:rRNA from 1 species